UACGUAGGGGGCAAGCGUUGUCCGGAAUCAUUGGGCGUAAAACGCGUGUAGGCGGCUCGAUAAGUCUGCUGUGAAAGUCCAAGGCUCAACCUUGGGAUGCCGGUGGAUACUGUCGAGCUCGAGUCCGGAAGAGGAGUGUGGAAUUCCGUGGUGUAGCGGUGAAAUGCGCAGAUAUCAGGAGGAACACCAAUGGCGAAGGCAGCACUCUGGGACGUGACUGACGCUGAGACGCGAAAGCGUGGGGAGCAACAGG
rnacentral:rRNA from 1 species